GAUGAACGCUGGCGGCGUGCCUAAUACAUGCAAGUCGAGCGAACGGACGAGAAGCUUGCUUUUCUGAUGUUAGCGGCGGACGGGUGAGUAACACGUGGAUAACCUACCUAUAAGACUGGGAUAACUUCGGGAAACCGGAGCUAAUACCGGAUAAUAUUUUGAACCGCAUGGUUCAAAAGUGAAAGACGGUCUUGCUGUCACUUAUAGAUGGAUCCGCGCUGCAUUAGCUAGUUGGUAAGGUAACGGCUUACCAAGGCAACGAUGCAUAGCCGACCUGAGAGGGUGAUCGGCCACACUGGAACUGAGACUCGGUCCAGACUCCUACGGGAGGCAGCAGUAGGGAAUCUUCCGCAAUGGGCGAAAGCCUGACGGAGCAACGCCGCGUGAGUGAUGAAGGUCUUCGGAUCGUAAAACUCUGUUAUUAGGGAAGAACAUAUGUGUAAGUAACUGUGCACAUCUUGACGGUACCUAAUCAGAAAGCCACGGCUAACUACGUG
rnacentral:rRNA from 1 species